AUGCUCGCUUCAGCAGCACAUAUACUAAAAUUGAAAGAAACAGAGAAGAUUGGCAUGGCCCUCGUGCAAGGAUGACACACAAAUUCCUCAAGCGUUCCAUAUUUUU
ensembl:snRNA U6 U6 spliceosomal RNA